rnacentral:rRNA from 1 species
UACGUAGGGUGCAAGCGUUGUCCGGAGUUAUUGGGCGUAAAGAGCUCGUAGGCGGUCUGUCGCGUCGGCUGUGAAAACCCGGGGCUCAACCCCGGGCCUGCAGUCGAUACGGGCAGACUAGAGUGCGGUAGGGGAGACUGGAAUUCCUGGUGUAGCGGUGAAAUGCGCAGAUAUCAGGAGGAACACCGGUGGCGAAGGCGGGUCUCUGGGCAGUAACUGACGCUGAGGAGCGAAAGCGUGGGGAGCGAACAGG